UAUAAAGAUACAAAAAGACAAUAUAUUAAUUAAAAUAUGUAAUAUCAAUCACUGUAACAUUGAAACCGAAACAUAUAAUCAAAACAUAAAUAAAAACCAUUCACUAAGCAUGGUUACAUCUAAAUUUAAACUAAAAACCAUAUUCAUUGGGGGCAAUGUGACUGAAUGAUGGCUCCGAUGUCAUGAACUAACAACUAUUGACUCCAAAACUUGUAGCUUGUUUGCUCAGUUAAUUAUAUAAAACUCUAAUGUUCUCUCGAGUAGUACACACAAUACAAGAGGUCCUAAUUUGUUUACAUGCCCCUUGGAUAGGAAGAUCUAGAGUCCUUGACAAGUGUCCAGCACCUAUCCCUGCAAAUCCAAUAAUAAAAAUCGAACACACAAAUGGACUUCAUAUAGUCAGAAAAUUAACUAUUAAAAAAAAUCCUACCUUAAACUCAUUUAUUUCAUCAUCCAAUGUCCUAUCAUUUUCUCCAGUUCUUUGAACGUUUUCACUUUUUGCUGCAUCUAUUAUAUGAUAUUCACAUUACCUUUUUAUACUUGCUCAUUACUCGAAAUGCAAAAGUCUCUACUUCAAUCAAGGCAUACAUAGUUACAGAUAACACACGAAUUUCAAAAAAUUACACAAUAAAAG
rnacentral:lncRNA from 1 species